GAAAUGCGAUAAGUAAUGUGAAUUGCAGAAUUCAGUGAAUCAUCGAGUCUUUGAACGCACAUUGCGCCUUUUGGUAUUCCGAAAGGCACGUCUGUUCGAGCGUCAUUGUAAACCUUCCGCUGGCGGUUUUGCUACCGCCUGCGGGUCCCUGGCGAGGGGAUGUUGCCGCCGCGCCCUCACGGGUGCGGGCAGGUUUCCCCCGCUUAAACGCGGAGAAAGCUAGCGGCCUCCGGCCACGACUGCGAGACUAGUAGAAUGCCUGUCCCCAAGUCGUGACCUACGAGUUGCCUGCCUCGAAACGUAUCAGGGCUUCACGGCCCUUUUUACCUGACUCUUGACCUCGGAUCAGAUGAGGAUACCCGCUGAACUUAA
rnacentral:misc_RNA from 1 species